rnacentral:snoRNA from 1 species
AAGCCAUGGUGCGGACAUGCAGCAACAUACUCUUGCAUUCUCUCCCAAACAUCGGGAAUGGAUUCCUCAGCUUGUUGUGUAAAACUGGAGAAUUUGUUGUGAAGAGCAU